rnacentral:rRNA from 1 species
GAUGAACGCUGGCGGCGUGCCUAAUACAUGCAAGUCGAGCGAACGGACGAGAAUCUUGCUUCUCUGAUGUUAGCGGCGGACGGGUGAGUAACACGUGGAUCACCUCCCUAUCUGACUGGGAUAACUUCGGGAAACCGGAUCUAAUCCCGUAUGAUAUUUUGAACCGCAUGGUUCAAAAGUGAAAUACGGUCUUGCUGUCACUUAUCGCUGCAUCCGCGCUGCAUUAGAUAGUUGGUAAGGUAACGGCUUACCAAGGCAACGAUGCAUAGCCGACCUGAGAGGGGGAUCGGCCACACUGGAAGGGAGACAGGGUCAAGAAGACUAAGGGAGGCAGCAGUAGGGAAUCUUACGCAAUGGGCGAAAGCCUGACGGAGCAACGCCGCGUGAGAGAUGAAGGUCUUCGGAUCGUAAAACUCUGUUAUGAGGGAAGAACAUAUGUGGAAGUAACUGUGCAGAGCGUGACGGUAACUAAUCAGAAAGCAACGGCUAACUACGUG